rnacentral:rRNA from 1 species
AGUGAACGCUGGCGGUAGGCCUAACACAUGCAAGUCGAACGGCAGCACAGAGGAGCUUGCUCCUUGGGUGACGAGUGGCGGACGGGUGAGGAAUACAUCGGAAUCUACUCUGUCGUGGGGGAUAACGUAGGGAAAAUUACGCUAAUACCGCAUACGACCUACGGGUGAAAGCAGGGGACCUGCGGGCCUUGCGCGAUUGAAUGGGCGGAGGUCGGAUUAGCUAGUUGGCGGGGUAAAGGCCCACCAAGGCGACGAUCCGUAGCUGGUCUGAGAGGAUGACCAGCCACACUGGAACUGAGACACGGUCCAGACUCCUACGGGAGGCAGCAGUGGGGAAUAUUGGACAAUGGGCGCAAGCCUGAUCCAGCCAUACCGCGUGGGUGAAGAAGGCCUUCGGGUUGUAAAGCCCUUUUGUUGGGAAAGAAAUCCAGCUGGCUAAUACCCGGUUGGGAUGACGGUACCCAAAGAAUAAGCACCGGCUAACUUCGUGCCAGCAGCCGCCGUAA